rnacentral:rRNA from 1 species
CCUACGGGGAGCAGCAGUGGGGAAUAUUGGACAAUGGGGGGAACCCUGAUCCAGCGACGCCGCGUGAGUGAAGAAGUAUUUCGGUAUGUAAAGCUCUAUCAGCAGGGAAGAAAGAAAUGACGGUACCUGACUAAGAAGCCCCGGCUAACUACGUGCCAGCAGCCGCGGUAAUACGUAGGGGGCAAGCGUUAUCCGGAUUUACUGGGUGUAAAGGGAGCGUAGACGGCGAUGCAAGUCUGAAGUGAAAGGCGGGGGCUCAACCCCCGGACUGCUUUGGAAACUGUAUGGCUGGAGUGCAGGAGAGGUAAGUGGAAUUCCUAGUGUAGCGGUGAAAUGCGUAGAUAUUAGGAGGAACACCAGUGGCGAAGGCGGCUUACUGGACUGUAACUGACGUUGAGGCUCGAAAGCGUGGGGAGCAAACAGGAUUAGAUACCCUUGUAGUC